CCUACGGGCGGCAGCAGUGAGGAAUAUUGGUCAAUGGACGAGAGUCUGAACCAGCCAAGUAGCGUGAAGGAUGACUGCCCUAUGGGUUGUAAACUUCUUUUAUAUGGGAAUAAAAUGUUCCACGUGUGGGAUUUUGUAUGUACCAUAUGAAUAAGGAUAGGCUAACUCCGUGCCAGCAGCCGCGGGAAUACGGAGGAUCCGAGCGUUAUCCGGAUUUAUUGGGUUUAAAGGGAGCGUAGGUGGAUUGUUAAGUCAGUUGUGAAAGUUUGCGGCUCAACCGUAAAAUUGCAGUUGAAACUGGCAGUCUUGAGUACAGUAGAGGUGGGCGGAAUUCGUGGUGUAGCGGUGAAAUGCUUAGAUAUCACGAAGAACUCCGAUUGCGAAGGCAGUUCACUGGACUGCAACUGACACUGAGGCUCGAAAGUGUGGGUAUCAAACAGGAUUAGAUACCCGUGUAGUC
rnacentral:rRNA from 1 species